GACGAACGCUGGCGGCGUGCCUAAUACAUGCAAGUCGAACGCACAGUUUAUACCGUAGCUUGCUACACCAUAGACUGUGAGUUGCGAACGGGUGAGUAACGCGUAGGUAACCUGCCUGGUAGCGGGGGAUAACUAUUGGAAACGAUAGCUAAUACCGCAUAAUAUUUAUUAUUGCAUGAUAAUUAAUUGAAAGGUGCAAUUGCACCACUACCAGAUGGACCUGCGUUGUAUUAGCUAGUAGGUGAGGUAACGGCUCACCUAGGCGACGAUACAUAGCCGACCUGAGAGGGUGAUCGGCCACACUGGGACUGAGACACGGCCCAGACUCCUACGGGAGGCAGCAGUAGGGAAUCUUCGGCAAUGGACGAAAGUCUGACCGAGCAACGCCGCGUGAGUGAAGAAGGUUUUCGGAUCGUAAAGCUCUGUUGUAAGAGAAGAACGGGUGUGAGAGUGGAAAGUUCACACUGUGACGGUAUCUUACCAGAAAGGGACGGCUAACUACGUG
rnacentral:rRNA from 1 species